GAUGAACGCUGGCGGCGUGCCUAAUACAUGCAAGUCGAGCGGCAGCGCGGAGAGUUUACUCUCUGGCGGCGAGCGGCGGACGGCUGAGUAACGCGUAGGAACGUACCCCAAAGUGAGGGAUAAGCACCAGAAAUGGUGUCUAAUACCGCAUGUGGUCUUCGGAUUAAAGCUUCGGCGCUUUGGGAACGGCCUGCGUAAGAUUAGCUUGUUGGUGAGGUAAUGGCNCACCAAGGCGACGAUCUUUAGCUGGUCUGAGAGGAUGAUCAGCCAGACUGGGACUGAGACACGGCCCAGACUCCUACGGGAGGCAGCAGUAGGGAAUUUUCCACAAUGGACGAAAGUCUGAUGGAGCAACGCCGCGUGCAGGAUGAAUGCCUUAGGGUUGUAAACUGUC
rnacentral:rRNA from 1 species